rnacentral:rRNA from 1 species
UACGAAGGGUGCAAACGUUGCUCGGAAUUAUUGGGCGUAAAGCGCACGUAGGCGGUUCGUUAUGUCGGAUGUGAAAGCCCUUGGCUUAACCGAGGAAGUGCAUCCGAAACUGGCGAGCUAGAGUACUAAAGAGGAUCGCGGAAUUCCCGGUGUAGAGGUGAAAUUCGUAGAUAUCGGGAGGAACACCGGGUGGCGAAGGCGGCGAUCUGGGUCGAUACUGACGCUGAGGUGCGAAAGCGUGGGGAGCAAACAGG